UGUUUCGGCUAGGGGGCCAUCCCGGCUUACCAACCCGAUGCAAACUGCGAAUACCGGAGAAUGUUAUCACGGGAGACACACGGCGGGUGCUAACGUCCGUCGUGAAGAGGGAAACAACCCAGACCGCCAGCUAAGGUCCCAAAGUCAUGGUUAAGUGGGAAACGAUGUGGGAAGGCCCAGACAGCCAGGAUGUUGGCUUAGAAGCAGCCAUCAUUUAAAGAAAGCGUAAUAGCUCACUGGUCGAGUCGGCCUGCGCGGAAGAUGUAACGGGGCUAAACCAUGCACCGAAGCUGCGGCAGCGACGCUGAUGCGUUGUUGGGUAGGGGAGCGUUCUGUAAGCCUGCGAAGGUGGCCUGUGAGGGUUGCUGGAGGUAUCAGAAGUGCGAAUGCUGACAUAAGUAACGAUAAAGCGGGUGAAAAGCCCGCUCGCCGGAAGACCAAGGGUUCCUGUCCAACGUUAAUCGGGGCAGGGUGAGUCGACCCCUAAGGCGAGGCCGAAAGGCGUAGUCGAUGGGAAACGGGUUAAUAUUCCCGUACUUGGUGUUACUGCGAAGGGGGGACGGAGAAGGCUAUGUUGGCCGGGCGACGGUUGUCCCGGUUUAAGCGUGUAGGUGUGUGUUCCAGGUAAAUCCGGUUCACUUUAACACUGAGGCGUGAUGACGAGGCACUACGGUGCUGAAGCAA
rnacentral:rRNA from 1 species